rnacentral:rRNA from 1 species
ACGCUGGCGGCGUGCCUAAUACAUGCAAGUCGAGCGAACAGAUAAGGAGCUUGCUCCUUUGACGUUAGCGGCGGACGGGUGAGUAACACGUGGAUAACCUACCUAUAAGACUGGGAUAACUUCGGGAAACCGGAGCUAAUACCGGAUAACAUAUUGAACCGCAUGGUUCAAUAGUGAAAGGCGGCUUUGCUGUCACUUAUAGAUGGAUCCGCGCCGUAUUAGCUAGUUGGUAAGGUAACGGCUUACCAAGGCAACGAUACGUAGCCGACCUGAGAGGGUGAUCGGCCACACUGGAACUGAGACACGGUCCAGACUCCUACGGGAGGCAGCAGUAGGGAAUCUUCCGCAAUGGGCGAAAGCCUGACGGAGCAACGCCGCGUGAGUGAUGAAGGUCUUCGGAUCGUAAAACUCUGUUAUCAGGGAAGAACAAAAUGUGUAAGUAACUGGUGCACAAUCUUGACGGUACCUGAUCAGAAAGCCACGGCUAACUACGGUGCCAGCAGCCGCGGUAAUACGUAGGUGGCAAGCGUUAAUCCGGAAUUAUUGGGCGUAAAGCGCGCGUAGGCGGUUUUUUAAGUCUGAUGUGAAAGCCCACGGCUCAACCGUGGAGGGUCAUUGGAAACUGGAAAACUUGAGUGCAGAAGAGGAAAGUGGAAUUCCAUGUGUAGCGGUGAAAUGCGCAGAGAUAUGGAGGAACACCAGUGGCGAAGGCGACUUUCUGGUCUGUAACUGACGCUGAUGUGCGAAAGCGUGGGGAUCAAACAGGAUUAGAUACCCUGGUAGUCCACGCCGUAAACGAUGAGUGCUAAGUGUUAGGGGGUUUCCGCCCCUUAGUGCUGCAGCUAACGCAUUAAGCACUCCGCCUGGGGAGUACGACCGCAAGGUUGAAACUCAAAGGAAUUGACGGGGGACCCGCACAAGCGGUGGAGCAUGUGGUUUAAUUCGAAGCAACGCGAAGAACCUUACCAAAUCUUGACAUCCUUUGACCGCUCUAGAGAAUAGAGUCUUCCCCUUCGGGGGACAAAGUGACAGGUGGUGCAUGGUUGUCGU